rnacentral:rRNA from 1 species
UACGGGGGGGGCAAGCGUUGUUCGGAAUUACUGGGCGUAAAGGGCUCGUAGGUGGCCAACUAAGUCAGACGUGAAAUCCCUCGGCUUAACCGGGGAACUGCGUCUGAUACUGGUUGGCUUGAGUUUGGGAGAGGGACGCGGAAUUCCGGGUGUAGCGGUGAAAUGCGUAGAUAUCCGGAGGAACACCGGUGGCGAAGGCGGCUUCCUGGACCGACACUGACGCUGAGGCGCGAAAGCCAGGGGAGCGAACGGG